GGAGGGUGCAAGCGUUAUCCGGAAUCAUUGGGUUUAAAGGGUCCGUAGGCGGGCAUAUAAGUCAGUGGUGAAAGUCUGUGGGCUUAACCAUAGAAUUGCCAUUGAUACUGUAUGUCUUGAAUUAUUGUGAAGUGGUUAGAAUAUGUAGUGUAGCGGUGAAAUGCUUAGAGAUUACAUAGAAUACCGAUUGCGAAGGCAGAUCACUAACAAUAUAUUGACGCUGAUGGACGAAAGCGUAGGUAGCGAACAGGAUUAGAUACCCUGGUAGUCUACGCCGUAAACGAUGGAUACUAGUUGUUUGGUUUUCGGACUGAGUGACUAAGCGAAAGUGAUAAGUAUCCCACCUGGGGAGUACGUUCGCAAGAAUG
rnacentral:rRNA from 1 species